CACUGCUCUGAUGCGCUAGACAAAAAUUUCUUACAUAUUGCUUUGUUUCCAGUGUGAUUUUGGUACUUUGCUCUACGGUAACACUGCUUUGUGGUUGUUUAAAAAUACAAAGUAUGGCCAAUUUACACUAGGGCUGAGUUAUUCAGUUAUUGCGUUUCGUGGAAAACUCACUUAACGCACUUCUCAAAAUAAGACGGAUUUUCAAAAUUAUGUUACCAUUAGAAACAUUACUGACCGAAAUCUAUAACUGAUGAUGACGUCGAUUUUGGGCAACCAUUCGUUUUCUAGAUUUUUGCAAAAAAAUAACAAAGCCAUUCGAACCGAACAAAUACAAAAGUGAAAUAAGGAAUCUCAGUGUUUAGCGAUAGUGGUUGCAAUACAAUAAUGCGAGUUUCAGAUAAGUCUGG
rnacentral:lncRNA from 1 species